rnacentral:rRNA from 1 species
AUUGAACGCUGGCGGCAUGCCUUACACAUGCAAGUCGAACGGCAGCACGGGAGCAAUCCUGGUGGCGAGUGGCGAACGGGUGAGUAAUAUAUCGGAACGUGCCCAGUCGUGGGGAUAACGUAGCGAAAGCUACGCUAAUACCGCAUACGAUCUAUGGAUGAAAGCGGGGGAUCGCAAGACCUCGCGCGAUUGGAGCGGCCGAUAUCAGAUUAGGUAGUUGGUGAGGUAAAGGCUCACCAAGCCGACGAUCUGUAGCUGGUCUGAGAGGACGACCAGCCACACUGGGACUGAGACACGGCCCAGACUCCUACGGGAGGCAGCAGUGGGGAAUUUUGGACAAUGGGCGCAAGCCUGAUCCAGCAAUGCCGCGUGCAGGAUGAAGGCCUUCGGGUUGUAAACUGCUUUGUACGGAACGAAACGGUGAGCUCUAAUACAGUUUGCUAAUGACGGUACCGUAAGAAUAAGCACCGGCUAACUACGUG